rnacentral:rRNA from 1 species
UACAGAGGUCCCAAGCGUUGUUCGGAUUCAUUGGGCGUAAGGGUGCGUAGGCGGCGCGGUAAGUCGGGUGUGAAAUCUCGGAGCUUAACUCCGAAACUGCAUUCGAUACUGCCGUGCUUGAGGACUGGAGAGGAGACUGGAAUUUACGGUGUAGCGGUGAAAUGCGUAGAUAUCGUAAGGAAGACCAGUGGCGAAGGCGGGUCUCUGGACAGUUCCUGACGCUGAGGCACGAAGGCCAGGGAGCAACGGG